AAAUUUAUGAGUUACAGAGGAUGUGCUUUUAGGUGUGUGGGGGUGCGGGCGUGUGUGUGUGGACACUAAACCAGCUGCGCUGCAGCUCACAGAGCUGCACCUUUGUCCCAUAAUGCAGUGGGGCGCCCCUUUUAACUACUGCCAGUUCUUAUCGCAGCAACACAUCAGAGGGUAUGCUGCCUUCAUCUGACAAGAAGAACCACGGGGUUUGGCCGGCAGACUGCAGCAGCGUAGGUGGAGGGGAAACUCACGCUGCCGGUCAGACCUGUUGGUAAAGCCCAGGUCAAAGCAGUGCAUGGAGUGCGGCGGUGACAAACUACGUGAUUUACUGUCUCAUGUGCA